UAAGGUAGCCGUAAGUCGUAACAAGGUAACCGUAAGUCGUAACAAGGUAACCGUAGAGUUUGAUCCUGGCUCAGCCUUUGAUAAAAUGAGAAGUCGUAACAAGAUAACCGUAGAGGAGAUA
rnacentral:rRNA from 1 species